AGAUUCUACAUGACAGAUUAGAUUAAAUCUCAAAAAAUCCUACGAUUCAUUUUAUUAUUCAUUAAAUAAUAAAAUAGAUGUAUAUUUGUAAUAUUAUUGAAUCGUUUCAUUCGC